GACGAACGCUGGCGGCGUGCUUAACACAUGCAAGUCGAACGGAAAGGCCUGCUUUCCCUUGUGGAUUGCGGGUACUCGAGUGGCGAACGGGUGAGUAACACGUGAGUUAUCUGCCCCCAACUUGGGUAUAAGCCUGGGAAACUGGGUCUAAUUCCCGCUAGGACUGCAGGGUGGUGCCUGUGGUGGAAAACGAUUUUCUUGUGGUUGGGGAUGAGCUCGCGGCCUAUCAGCUUGUUGGUGGGGUAGUGUCCGACGAGGGCGGGGACGGGUAGCCUGUCAGGGGUAGUGGGCCGGCGAGGUGGGACUGCGAUACUGGCAAUACGACUACGGGAGGCAGCAUUGGGGAAUAAGGCGCGAGGGGCAGAAGACUGAGGCAGCGAGGCCGAGUGGGGGAUGACGGGCUUCGGGUUGUAACCUUCUGUCGACAGCGAGGAAGCCACCUGGUUGGAAGGGUGGUGACGGUAGUGGUAGAAGAAGCACCGGCUAACUACGUG
rnacentral:rRNA from 1 species